UUGUAAAGUACUUUCAGCGAGGAGGAAGGCAGUUAAGGUUAAUAACCUUAGUGAUUGACGUUACUCGCAGAAGAAGCACCGGCUAACUCCGUGCCAGCAGCCGCGGUAAUACGGAGGGUGCAAGCGUUAAUCGGAAUUACUGGGCGUAAAGCGCACGCAGGCGGUCUGUCAAGUCGGAUGUGAAAUCCCCGGGCUCAACCUGGGAACUGCAUUCGAAACUGGCAGGCUAGAGUCUUGUAGAGGGGGGUAGAAUUCCAGGUGUAGCGGUGAAAUGCGUAGAGAUCUGGAGGAAUACCGGUGGCGAAGGCGGCCCCCUGGACAAAGACUGACGCUCAGGUGCGAAAGCGUGGGGAGCAAACAGGAUUAGAACCCCCGGUAGAAGAUGGAGGCCGCGG
rnacentral:rRNA from 1 species